rnacentral:rRNA from 1 species
GAGCUACUGGAUGGCUGAUGGGCCCCACCGGGUUACUGACGUCAACUAAACUCCGAAUGCCGGUAAGGUUCAGCGUGGCAGUGAGACAGUGGGGGAUAAGCUUCAUUGUCGAGAGGGAAACAGCCCAGACCAUCAACUAAGGCCCCUAAGCGUGUGCUGAGUGGGAAAGGAUGUUCAGUUGCGAAGACAACCAGGAGGUUGGCUUAGAAGCAGCCACCCUUGAAAGAG